GCCUGGAUGGCUUAGUAGGUUAAACAUCUGACUUUGGCUCAGAUUGUGAUCUCCAGGUA
rnacentral:tRNA from 1 species